rnacentral:lncRNA from 1 species
AAAAGACAUGGGUAUUAGGGUUUACAUGGAUGUAACCCUAAUCCACCACACUAUAUAAAGGAGGCUUUAGUUCUUGAAAUGACACUAGUUGUAGUGAGUAUACUAAGAGGGACGCUUUCAAGAAGGUUGCAACUAUUCUCUCAUAGUUCCAAAGUUUGUGGUGAUUUGUGAUUUCCAUUUGAGGCAUCCACACUAUUGGUGCUAGGCUCUAAAACUCCAAGCAAUCAACUACAACUACAAGGUAAGUAAUUCUACUAGCUUUAUUUGAUUCAAGUUCCCCAUGCCAUGCUAGAUAGGAUAAGAACCUUGGAAAAAUAAUUAUUUGCAUGUAUCUUAGUCAAACAUAGAUCCAAGGUUUCUAGGGUUGCAUGUACACCAUAGGAGUGUUAGAAUGCUCAAAACCCAUCAGUGGUAUCAGAGCCUAGACUUGUUUACUUGAUAGUUGAUGCAAAUAGCUUAAAAAUUAGAAUUUUUGUUCACUGCACGUAUGAACUCGCCGAGACCAUAGGGGGACUCGACGAGUCCAUGAGGAAAUGCAUGCUACUCGUCGAUUUUGUUCACGCACUCGACGAGUAGAGGCUGCAUUGUCCAGUUUUUUGAGUUUUGCUGCUGGAAAUGGACUAGAAACAUUACCCUAAAUUGUUUUGGUGUUAUAAAACUUGUUUUAGAUGGUGUAAUGUUUAUGCUAAUCCAUUUACAAUGGCUAUUAUAAAAAAUUACAAAUGUUAUGGGUAAUUUAUGAUUCUUCAAAUGUUCAUAUUAAUGUUCUUGAACUUAUGAAGAUUAGAUGAUCAUAGGAAUUGUUUGUAACCUACUUGGUAGUUGAAUUCUUGAUUAUUAUGUGUUUUAAUGGAGUCCAUAACUUGUCCUCAAGUUAUGAAAAUCCAAAGGUCACACUUUAAUAAAAACCAUUAAAAGAACACAAGGGUUAUAAAAAUGAAGAGUCUUCAUUUUUAAUACUCAAUUAAAUUCAUAAGUUAUAAGAAAUGAAAAGUUUUGAAAGUUUACAAAACUUGCCCUCAAGUUUUGGAACAAGUAAAGUCAUGAUUAAAACUUUAGUUCCAACCCUUAGAAUUUUAAAAGUUAAAAUUCAACCCUUAUACUUUAUAAUAUUAUAAGUUAAUAAUAUAUAUGUAUAAGAUCAAGUCGUCUUACNNNNNNNNNNNNNNNNNNNNNNNNNNNNNNNNNNNNNNNNNNNNNNNNNNNNNNNNNNNNNNNNNNNNNNNNNNNGGGGGGGGUAUAUGGUUGUUGCCUAUAAAAUGGCAACUUAUUGGGUGUCCACUCUCACCCACCGCUUCCUUGAUUGGUGGAGGGUCGUUAGCCGAACUGGUAGGACAAUGACUUAUAAAUUCUCAUUAAAAGUAUAAUAAUAAUUAUAAAGUAAAUAAAUGCUUUUAUUAAAUUCCCAAUCUUAGUUACUUUAGGAAAAUGUGAAUAAGGUGCUAAUCCAUGAAAUUACACUUUACACUUUGUUUAAGUCGUUAGUGGAGCGUGUGUGGUUAACUGGCACACUAACUUAAACUUAACAAGGUAGGUAAAGGGUGACUUAAUGUUUAUCAUAGCAUCGAUGGAGCGUGUGUGGUUAACCGACACAUCGAUUGAGGGGUAAUACAUUAAGGGUACCAAGUAAUUUGUAUGGUUACUUCACACCUUGUUUUGUGAUCCUCGGCAUCCCAGUCACAAAACUUGAAGGGAACACUCGAUAUUGAAACAUGCCAUUGAAGAAACUUCAAUGAAUCUCAAAGAAUCUAGGAGUUUCUAAACCAAUUAAAACCUACUUAAAUAUUUCGUUUUCCCAUGGUGGAAAUUGGUGAAUCGUCAUUCACGUACCUUCAAAUAUCUUAUAGCUUAGAUUACGGCAUCCCUCUUCUAUGUUAUAAAAUAUUGUGUUGGGUCCUAGCCUUAAUAUUACAUUUGGGUGUUUUAUUAAGGACUAUCCCUAUAUCUAAUCUAAUCUAAUCCCUCUUCUUUUCAGAUGUCUUCCAAUAACAACGCUUUUGGCUCAAACCCUACUAGCUCCUUUUCUCUCAUGAAUCUUUGUGGGAGAGUCAUCUUUGAUGGGUCCAAUUUUAUAGAUUGGAUCAGAAACAUCAGGAUGGUCACUCGGUAUGAGAACAAAGAAUAUGUUCUCGACAAGGAGCUGAAGGUACCCGAGCAAACUGCUACUCCUGAAGAGCUUGUUGAAUAUGAGGUACAUGAAAGAGAUGCUACAAAAGUUGCAUGCAUCAUGAUGGCCACCAUGACAGUCGAGCUCCAAAAGUCCUAUGAGGACUAUUAUCCUUUUGAGAUGCACAGGACUUGAUGGACUGCUACCAUCAAAGUGCUCGUCAAGAGCGACAUAAAAUAAUCUCCUCCAUGAUAACAUUCUGAAUGAAGGAUGGUGAACCCAUCAUUGGCCACAUGCAGAAAAUGCAAAGGUAUGUGGACCGUUUAAUGAUGAUGAAUGUGAACUUCCCCGAGGAGUUAGCAAUAGACAUCAUUUUGCACUCCUUACCAUCAUGUUAUGAUCAAUUCCGCAUGACAUAUCACAUGAACAAGGAAGAAGUUACCCUCAGCAAGCUUCAAGGACUCUUGAAGACCGCCGUAAGUGGUCUAAAGGGUAAUUCGGUUGUUACUACUCCUACUCCUACUCCAACUGCGACCAAUGUCUUGGCAAUCGGGCAUGGCAAAGGGAAGAAGAGAAAGAACCCUUCUAAGAGUACCAAGGGUAAGACCCUUGAAGGCUCCUCUUGAAGCAAAACCAAGAAAGGUUUUGUCACUCCUUCUGCUAACCCUAAUGAGGCUGAAUGCUUCUAUUGCCAUGAAAAGUCGCACUGGAAGCGAAACUACCCAAAGUACCAGCAAGAUUUGAAGGAUGGAAAGUAAAACCCAACCAUGCAAGUAUAUAAACUAUAUUGUCUAAUAACUCACCUCAUUCUAAGUCUUGGGUCCUUGAUACAGGUUGUGGUAUUCACAUAUGUUGUGAUUUGCAGGGCCUAAAAGGAAGUGAGGAUGUGGAGCAGGGAAAGAUAAACUUAAUCAUGGGAAAGAGGAAAGCUUCACAUGUCACAAAGAUAGGAGUUUAUUCCUUAGUGCUAAAUAGUGGGUUUACAUUAGAUUUGAAUAAAUGUCAUUAUUCGCCAGAAAUGGCAAGAAAUGUUAUUUCCUUUCAUGCAUUGUAUAAACAAGGUUUUACCUUUUAUUUUGAUAAUAAUAAUGGUAGUAUUGAUGCUUUCUUUAAUAAUGUUCUUUAUUUUAAAGCAUUACCUUGUGAUGGUGUGUAUGAAACUGUAUCUGUUGUAGAUAAUCUAGGAAAUAAUGUAUUGUGUAUUGACUCUUCCACUAGCUUAGAUAAAGCAUCUUUAUGGCAUUGUCGUCUUGGACAUGUAAGUAAGAAACGCAUAGGCCAACUCCAAAAGGAUGGAGUCUUGGAGUCAUUUGAUCUAAAUUCAGAUGAUAGUUGUGAAUCUUGUUUGCUUGCUAAAAUGACAAAGUCACCUUUUACUAGAACUUGUGCUAGGGGUGAACGUUUGUUGGACCUCAUACACACGGAUGUGUGUGGACCCUUCAGAACUGCCACAAUAGAUGCUAAUCGGUUCUAUGUGACUUUUACUAAUGAUUUUAGUAGAUAUGGAUAUGUCUACUUAAUCAAGCAUAAGUCAAAAACCUUUGAUAAAUUCAAAGAGUUUAAGCAAGAAGUGGAGAAUCAGUUGGGCAGGAACAUUAAGAUGCUUCGAUCCGAUCGUGGUGGUGAGUAUCUUAGUACUGAGUUCCUUGACUAUCUUAAGGAAUGUGGGAUUAUCUCACAAUUGACACCUCCUAGGACACCACAGUUGAAUGGUGUAGCUGAGAGGCGCAAUCGGACCUUGUUGGACAUGGUUCGUUCCAUGAUGAGUCGAGCUUCGCUACCAAUCUCAUUUUGGGGGUAUGCCUUAGAGACUGCCGCCCAUAUCCUUAAUCUAGUCCCUACAAAGAAGGUUGCCAAAACACCUCACGAGAUGUGGACUGGAAAAGUUCCCAAUCUAGACCACAUCAAGAUUUGGGGUUGUGAGGCUUUCGUGAGACGCGAGACUCACGAUAAGCUCGAACCCCGAAGCGAAAGGUGUAUUUUCNCGGCUACCCACAGAAAUCCUUUGGUUACAUCUUCUAUAGACCCAGUGCUAAUGUGGUCUUUGUAUCAAGAAGAUGAUUCUUUCGAGAGAGAGAAUUCAUAAGCCAAGGAGACAGUGGGAGGAAAAUUGACCUUCAGGAAAUUAAAGAGUCAAGUGGUGAAGGAACCUCAAACCCUAGCCCUCAACCUGAGGAGGAAACUCCUGUUGAGCCGACUGAAGAAUCUAUACCUCUGAGGCGUUCCACCAGAGUUAGGAAUGCACCUGAGCAUUAUUAUGGUUUCCAUAUUACUGCAGAAGGUGAGACACUUAUCAGUGAUAACACACUGGUAAAUCUGGAUGAGCCUAACAGCUACACGGAAGCCAUGGCAGGCCCUGAGGCUGCUAAAUGGAAAGAGGCUAUGGAUAGCGAGAUAUAGUCCAUGUAUGACAAUCAAGUUUGGAACUUGGUUGACAAUGUACCUGAUCGUAAGAUAGUUGGGUGCAAAUGGAUCUUCAAGAAGAAGACCGACAUGGAUGGUAAUGUACACACUUAUAAGGCACGACUGGUUGCAAAGGGUUAUUCUCAAACUCCGGGAGUUGAUUAUGAUGAGACCUUUUCACCAGUGGCCAAGAUUAAGUCUAUUAGGGUUCUGUUAGCCAUUGCUGCAUUUCAUGACUAUGAAAUAUGGCAAAUGGAUGUCAAAACCGCUUUCCUUAAUGGAAAGUUGGAUGAAGAUGUUUACAUGGUUCAGCCAGAUGGUUUUGUCAGUACAGAGUACCCCAAUAGAGUGUGUAAGCUCGAGAAAUCCAUUUAUGGAUUGAAACAGGCACCUCGCAGAUGGAAUCUUUGCUUCGAUGAGAAAGUCAAAGAAUUUGGCUUUUCAAGGAGUGAAGAUGAAUCAUGUGUCUAUAUCAAGGCUAGUGGGAGUAUAGUCAGCUUUUUGGUACUGUAUGUGAAUGACAUACUACUCAUAGGAAAUGACAUCCCAACCCUGCAGGAGGUUAAGUCAUGUCUUGGGAAGUGUUUCACUAUGAAGGACCUUGGAGAAGCUGCAUAUAUCCUAGGGAAAAGGAUUUUGAGAAACAGGAGUAAAAGACUAAUUGGACUUAGUCAAAGCACCUAUAUGGACAAAGUGUUGCGAAGGUUCAACAUGCAUAACUCCAAGAAAGGUGAGUUACCUAUCCAGUGUAAUGCCAGACUGAGUAAAACUCAAAGUCCAAGUACAGAGGCUGAGAUAGCUGAGAUGAGUUGAGUACCAUAUGCUUCUGCGGUAGGCUCGAUCGUGUAUGCUAUGAAUUUUACUCGCCCUGAUGUUGCCUUUGCUUUGAGCAUGGUCAGCAGAUAUUAGGGAAAUCCUGGCAAGGCUCACUGGACGGCGGUAAAGAAUAUUCUCAAGUACUUACAAAGGACUAAGGACUAGGUCCUUACCCUUGGUGGGAGUGACGACUUGAGAGUUGUAGGGUAUAGUGAUGCUAGCUUUCAGACUGACAUGGACAAUUUCUGCUCUCAGUCGGGUUGGGUCUUUACCCUAAACGGAGGAGCAAUUACUUGGAAAAGUUCCAAGCAGGAGGCAGUGGCUGAUUCCACUUGUGAAUCAGAGUAUAUAGCAGCAAGCGAGGCAGCAAAGGAGGCUAUAUGGCUAAAGAACUUCAUCGGAGACCUUGGAGUUGUACUAGUUAUAAAGGAGCCAAUGGAGAUUUUUUAUGACAGCAAUAGUGCGGUUGCCUUAGCCAAGGAACCAAGAGAUCAUGGGAGAUCCAGACACAUUGACAAAAAAUAUCACUUCAUCAGACAUCGAAUAGAAGAAGGAAUCCUCGUGGCAAAGAGCAUAUCAUUGGAUGAGAACCCAGCAGAUCCCCUCACGAAGGGACUAACUCGGGUUAAGCAUCUUCAGCAUGCUCGGAGCAUAGGGCUGAAGGAUGAUAUUAGUUUUAGUAGUUAGAUAAUCUAAAAAUUUGUAAAAUGUAAUUGACAUUUGAUGAUAAAUAAAACCUGUUAUUUAUGAGUAAAGUGUUGCUAUCUUUUGUCAAUCGUUUACUAUUAUUUAUUUUUGCAUGUUUUGACUUCCAGAAUUAUUAUGUUAUGGUAUAUAUCAUACUAUUCAAACUCUCCACAGUCGGUCAUAUGUUGGAAGUAGAUAUGAAUCAAGACUGUCAUGCGUUGGCUUGUAGAGGUCUAAGAUGUUAGACAAAGUGGGGCUACAGCACUCAUGAGUGCUCAUAAGUUCUGAGUAUUGGAUUCAACCCACGCUCACUUGUAUCACUUAGUGGAAUUUAUCUCGAGUGAUCAUGAGACGGUAAUAUCAUAUAAGUCUUCAAACCUAGAGAUAUGAUUUGUUGUCUAUGAGUUGGUUAUGCAUUGAUUGUACGAAAACGCAUUGGUAACUCGAUGUUAUAAAACGUGCUUUUGUGUGUAAUUCAACAAGUGGUAGAACAAACAUAUGAGUCGAAGUUUAUCUGUUCCUUCUUGGAUUAGAAGCUGNAUAAUCCAAUGAGUGGUAUAAAAAACAUAUGAGUUGAAGUUUAUCUGUUCCUUCUAGGAUUAGAAGUGAUAUCUGGGCCCCUCGAUGAUUUUGUUUUGACCUAUGUACCGGGCCCAGUCAGAACUAAAUUGAUGUGUUCAGUUAAGUUGUAUGUCAAACAAAUCAGAAAUCGGGAAACAAGUGUUGGACAAUAAGUAAGACCAUGUUGCAUGUAUUUGUCCGGCUGAUAUCUAGAACAGAGGAUUAUAUGAUCACUUAUCUAAAAUGGCGCGUUCUAGUUCAACAGAGUUUAAAGAGCUACGAUUGCUGAUCGGUUCCUGAAGUCAUACUUGCAACUAUAGUUAUUAGACUUAUCCAAGUGGGAGACUGUUGGAUAUAGUGUCUAAGUCCAUAACUAUAUUUGGUAUGUACUUGACCCGACACAGCAUGGUCCAUUUGGGGUGCACUUCAACUGAACAAUUUAUGGAUAAUCUUUUGAGAAUAGUAUAAGUUAUGAUUUAUUAAUAUAUUAUAAGUUCUAAUAUAUUAAUAUAAAAUCAUAUUAUUUAAUUAGUGUUGAUCUAUAAUUAAUCUAGGAUUAAUUUAGAGAUCAAAAGUAUGCCUAAUUAAAUAUGGGCUCUUGUAUUUAUAUAGUUGGGGCUAAUGCUUAUUUGGAAUGGGCUAGGCUUGUAUGGAAAGUCCAUGGAUACUCCAUGGGGCUUUAACCCAUGGAUCUCAUGGAAAUGAAAAGACAUGGGUAUUAGGGUUUACAUGGAUGUAACCCUAAUCCACCACACUAUAUAAAGGAGGCUUUAGUUCUUGAAAUGACACUAGUUGUAGUGAGUAUACUAAGAGGGCCGAUUUCAAGAAGGUUGUUACUAUUCUCUCAAAGUUCCAAAGUUUGUGGUGAUUUGUGACUUCCAUUUGAGGCAUCCACAUUAUUGGUGUUAGGCUUUAAAACUCCAAGCAAUCAACUACAACUACAAGGUAAGUAAUUCUACUAGCUUUAUUUGAUUCAAGUUCCCCAUGCCAUGCUAGAUAGGAUAAGAACCUUGGAAAAAUAAUUAUUUGCAUGUAUCUUAGUCAAAC